rnacentral:rRNA from 1 species
GAGUUUGAUCGUGGCUCAGAUUGAACGCUGGCGGCAUGCCUUACACAUGCAAGUCGAACGGCAGCACGGGAGCUUGCUCCUGGUGGCGAGUGGCGAACGGGUGAGUAAUGCAUCGGAACGUAUCCUGGAGUGGGGGAUAACGUAGCGAAAGUUACGCUAAUACCGCAUAUUCUGUGAGCAGGAAAGCGGGGGACCUUCGGGCCUCGCGCUCUUGGAGCGGCCGAUGUCGGAUUAGCUAGUUGGUGAGGUAAAGGCUCACCAAGGCGACGAUCCGUAGCAGGUCUGAGAGGAUGAUCUGCCACACUGGAACUGAGACACGGUCCAGACUCCUACGGGAGGCAGCAGUGGGGAAUUUUGGACAAUGGGGGCAACCCUGAUCCAGCCGUGCCGCGUGAGUGAAGAAGGCCUCGGUGUAAGU